rnacentral:lncRNA from 1 species
UUGAGAGGUACUAUCAGUUAUGCCUGAGUGGGGAUAGAUAGAGCAAGCUGGAUGAAGUUGAAUGAAAGUUAAUCCACACAGAAAAACAGCAUGAGGAAGACUGAGCCCAGACUGAGCCCAGACUGGCCUUUGCACCACAUUGUAGGCCGUGUGCAUAAGAAGUAACGUCAUCAUCUGAUGUGAGAAGAAGAGAAGGCUAUUAAAAGAUUUGAGGAAAAAGGAGAAGCUAUGUGCAAUACUGUGAUGUAUAAUAAGCCCCCUAGUACAUAGCUGUAUAUUCUAGUUGUGAGUGUCUCUGGUUGUGCUAUGUGGGAUGCUGCAUCAGC